UAUUGCACAAUGGGGGAAACCCUGAUGCAGCGACGCCGCGUGAGCGAAGAAGUAUUUCGGUAUGUAAAGCUCUAUCAGCAGGGAAGAAAAAAUGACGGUACCUGACUAAGAAGCCCCGGCUAACUACGUGCCAGCAGCCGCGGUAAUACGUAGGGGGCAAGCGUUAUCCGGAUUUACUGGGUGUAAAGGGCGCGCAGGCGGUGCGGCAAGUCUGAUGUGAAAGCCCGGGGCUCAACCCCGGGACUGCAUUGGAAACUGUCGUACUUGAGUAUCGGAGAGGUAAGUGGAAUUCCUAGUGUAGCGGUGAAAUGCGUAGAUAUUAGGAGGAACACCAGUGGCGAAGGCGGCUUACUGGACGAUAACUGACGCUGAGGCUCGAAAGCGUGGGGAGCAAACAG
rnacentral:rRNA from 1 species